rfam:Ipomoea nil DNA, scaffold: scaffold2283, cultivar: Tokyo-kokei standard.
GGGUGUUUGGUCUAGUGGUAUGAUUCUUGCUUUGGGUGCAAGAGGUUGUGAGUUCAAUUUUCACAACACCCC